rnacentral:tRNA from 6 species
GCCCAGAUAGCUCAGUCGGUAGAGCAGGAGACUGAAAAUCUCCGUGUCCGUGGUUCGAUUCCGCGUUUGGGCACCA